UGGGGAAUUUUGGACAAUGGGCGCAAGCCUGAUCCAGCCAUGCCGCGUGCGGGAAGAAGGCCUUCGGGUUGUAAACCGCUUUUGUCAGGGAAGAAACUUCUGAGUUAAUACCUCGGGAGGAUGACGGUACCUGAAGAAUAAGCACCGGCUAACUACGUGCCAGCAGCCGCGGUAAUACGUAGGGUGCAAGCGUUAAUCGGAAUUACUGGGCGUAAAGCGUGCGCAGGCGGUUUUGUAAGACAGAGGUGAAAUCCCCGGGCUCAACCUGGGAACUGCCUUUGUGACUGCAAGGCUUGAGUGCGGCAGAGGGGGAUGGAAUUCCGCGUGUAGCAGUGAAAUGCGUAGAUAUGCGGAGGAACACCGAUGGCGAAGGCAAUCCCCUGGGCCUGCACUGACGCUCAUGCACGAAAGCGUGGGGAGCAAACAGGAUUAGAUACCCUGGUAGUCCACGCCCUAAAACGAUGUCAACUGGUUGUUGGGAAGGUUCCUUCUCAGUAACGUAGCUAACGCGUGAAGUUGACCGCCUGGGGAGUACGGCCGCAAGGUUGAAACUAAAGGAAUUGACGGGGUCA
rnacentral:rRNA from 1 species